GAUGCAGGCCGACGCUCAUCCGUCGCGGGUAAAACUAAAAUACGAUGUUGAAAAAACGGGGAAAAUAAAAUUUAGCGUCGGUGACAAAGUCCGCAUUAGCGUGUACAAGGGUGUUUUCACCAAAGGAUAUUUACCCAAUUGGUCUACGGAAAUAUUUACAAUUAUUAAAGUGAAUAAGACUACGCCGGCAACAUUUAUCCUUGAAGAUUAUACGGGGAGCCCGAUCGCCGGCGGUUUUUACGCUGAAGAAAUACGUAGGACAAUGUACCCCGACGAUUAUCUGGUGGAAAAAGUAAUUCGCACAAAGGGUCAUCGUGUUUUCGUUCGAUGGUUAGGCUUUUCGGACGAACAUAAUAGUUGGAUAAAUAAGGUGGAUUUAAAAAUAUAAGCACAGUUACCGCGGUACGAUGGACGCGUUUGGAGGUUCACCGACAAGUCGGUUGAAUAAAAUAAUCGCGGAUAUAGAGGAAAAAUACGAAAAAGAGUUCGCCUUACACGUCGAUUUAAUCGAGAUAAUCGAUGGUAAAAUAACGGUACUCGGCGGAAAUUUCACAAAAGAGCUAGCUAUACAUAGUAAUAUAAUUGACACAAACGUGGAAAAAAUCUCGGCACUCGUACCGUAUAUCGAUAAAUAUUUUUCGGAAAACGAAAAUAAAAUUAAAUCUUUUAUAGAAUCCAUAGACAGUAUAAAUAAAAAUAUUGAAGAUUUGAAAACUGACUUGACGCACGCAUACACCAGGAUAGUUAUACUCGAGAAUAGAAUCAAUGGAUAUCAGUAUUCACUCAAGACUACCGCUAGUAAGACGUUAUAAUAUAUUAUAUAUUUAUAUAUAUAUUAUAAUAUAGCUCUUGCAAUCGCAAGAAUAUUAUGACUUCGGCUAUUCUGGAUAUCCAGUGCAUACUUGGUCCCCACUCAAAGUACAUGAUAAAAGAAAUGUCUAUAGUAGACUUGGACGGGUGGGCUAGCCAACAUUGGAUUUUUAAACAUAUUAGAACGCGCGAAAAUACGCCAAAAGUCAAUGCUGUCAACAUGUGGUUGUAUCGCAAUUACCAUCAACUGUCACCGGUUUGCGGGGACGUCCAAUAUUCGGAAAUAGGAAAGAUUUUAACAUCGUUACAUUUCGAUUGCAUUUACGUGAAAGGUGAAGAAAAACGGCAAAUCAUUCAAGACUUCAUUCCCAAUGUCAAAAUCAUCGAGAUGGGCACAGAUUUGGACUGUCCGCGACUCGACCAGCUACAUGCGGGGCCGGGAAAAAAUAUACAACCGUGCUGUUUAUACCAUAUGAAUUUAGAUAGCACGCAAUGUACAUAUAAUCGAGUUUUCGCAUUGCUUAAAUGGUUUAAAAAUAAUAUGUAAAAAUAAUGUGUUAUAUUAUUUAAUUUUUGUAUAUAAUAUUUCUGAAAUAUAUGUAUAUUAUAUUAUAUAAUCGUGUAAAGAGUUUUAUUACGCAUAUAUCUGUGUGCGUGUGUAUAACAUGUAUCUACUCCACAUCUGCAGGGAUUGACGGUUGGUCAGCGUCACACAAACGACCUCACAUUCCAUAACACGAUUUUUAAAAAUAAUUUGUAGAAUAAUAUAAUUUCAUUUCUGUAUACACGAUAUUAUUAUAUAGUCUCCUGCAAAUAGUAAAUAUACAUAAUAUAAUGUCCACGAAUGUCGAGUUUUUCACACAAUCGUAUUCGUUAGCCACAUCUGGACAACCCUACAGGCGGUGUGUAAAAUACCAUCAUCUGGCGGCGAAGGUCAACCCGUCAGCCGCGUACAACCGAAGCGACACAUUCCGAUUACAACGCGCAGGAUCCGCUCAGCGGACCACCCUUUUCGUCCGUAAUAUGCGCAUAUGCGUUUAUCAAUCGAUGUAUCCGCUCGAUAUUGUACACGUCGAUAGAUUAUGGUGGGGAUGUCUGCUGAUAAUAAUUUUAGACGAGCGGGCAUCGGUCAGUGAAUAUUAAAUCAGUCGUAUUUUCUCAACUAUCCGAAGCAGUCAUCUCUUCAUAUUAUCGUCCAUCUACACUACAGUCUAGAUUUUACAACAUCUCCGUUCAAAUAAAUUCUGAAUUCAUUCUCUUACCACAUUCAACAACGUCAAUAUCCGCAACUAUACGAUCUACUAAAAAUACAAGUGACUCCGGUUCCGUACAUUCAUCAGAUCAAUACCGCGAAUUUAAAUACGAAUAUGGCAUUUUUACAAUCGCUUAAGGCUCAAUUGAACUCUGUCAACCUUUCUGUCGGGGAAUUACGCAAAGACGUUCGUUACCCCAUACGGUCGAUGAAAAAUGUCGAGACAAAAUUUGGAACUGCAGUGUCCUGCAUAUUAUCGGACCCCGAUGGCGCCGGUUCGAUAAAUAUAUUUCUACCCAAGGCGAUCCAGAUGAAUGAUGUAGAUAUUGAAACUUAUAAUUUAGGCGUUGUACCUCCUGUUAGUCUCAUUUAUAAGGGAUUAAAUAGAAGGAGCUUUAUCAUAGAUUUUGAAUGAAAUCUAUAAUCGAAAUCCUCUAUGAACGGUUAUCGAUAAUUUUCUAUUAUUAUUAUUAUUUAAUUGCUUUAUUAUUUUUAAUAAAAAAAAAAAAAUUCUAAGUUUAUUCUU